ACUUCCGGGUACAUCGGCAGACUUAUUUACCGUUACGCAUAUAGGUAACCCGAAGAACUCGAGAGAUGUAGAAGUUAAAUUUGCUUCGGUCCUCUUUAGAUUUGAAGGAAUGGAAAGCACGGGUCAAAAAAUGCAGAUGUGUAGACAGGGAGGUAUAUGACAAGUAUAGAAUAUACAGUUGUUCACUAUGGACCAUUAAUCAACUGUUUGCACUGCCUAUGAUCCUGAAAUAUCUAUACAUCAAAGAUAAAAAGGAAAAAGGUGAAGGAGAAUUUGUCCAUGAAGACCUUUAUUGCAACUACCAUCUUCCAGUUCCUUAAUUUGAGAAUGAUAUCAGAGAACACACAGUCUUUAAAAAAGAUAGAAUAAAGAUUUGAUCACCAUCCCCAUAUCUCACCAUCCUGUAUAGAUAUAGUUAAAAAUGCUGUAACAUAUAUAUUAUGUUGUAAACUAAUUGUUUAUUUGUUCACAUGUUAUUACAAAAUGUAUGUUUUGUAAUCUGUGUCUAUGAAAUAAAAGAAAUGUUCUUUUUUGU